rnacentral:lncRNA from 1 species
CAACAAAGCAAUAUAUAAUACACUACACUUGCUCAUAUUCAUAAUUAUUUCUAAGAGGAGAUAUGGAGAAUAAUGGAAAGGACAAAGUAGGCACAUCAAAGAAUAUUGGAAGUGGGUUCCCAAAGAAAGAUAAGAAGUCAGUGAAGAAAAUGGUUGUUGAAAAGAUAGGCAAAGUUGUGGUGUCCACUUUCAAGAAUGAUAAGAAAAAAAAUUAACCCCUCUGAUGGCACCUCCUCUUAGUAGUUAGUCCCAUAUCUAUAAUGAAUGAACUUGCCUUUUGGAUUAUGCUAAUAUUAUUGAAUAAAUUAGUAUUUAUUUGAUUCUGAAGCUUUCGAGGGUUUAACUUAUAU